rnacentral:rRNA from 1 species
UGUGCGAAGAAGGCCUUCGGGUUGUAAAGCACUUUUGUCAGGGAAGAAAUCCUUUGGGCUAAUACCCUAGGGGGAUGACGGUACCUGAAGAAUAAGCACCGGCUAACUACGUGCCAGCAGCCGCGGUAAUACGUAGGGUGCAAGCGUUAAUCGGAAUUACUGGGCGUAAAGCGUGCGCAGGCGGUUGUGUAAGACAGGUGUGAAAUCCCCGGGCUUAACCUGGGAAUUGCAUUUGUGACUGCACGACUAGAGUGUGUCAGAGGGGGGUGGAAUUCCACGUGUAGCAGUGAAAUGCGUAGAUAUGUGGAGGAACACCAAUGGCGAAGGCAGCCCCCUGGGAUAACACUGACGCUCAUGCACGAAAGCGUGGGGAGCAAACAGGAUUAGAUACCCUGGUAGUCCACGCCCUAAACGA